rnacentral:rRNA from 1 species
UUAAAAAGCUCGUAGUUGGAUUUCUGGUCGAGUGUCCCUAGGCCGACUUGACGUUUGGUCCUAGGCGCCUCUGCCAUCCUUCUGUUAACUCUCGCCCACGUUCGUUCGUGGCGUUAGGGCUCAGAUAUUUUACCUUGAGAAAAUUAGAGUGCUUCAGGCAGGCUUUCGCCGGAAUACAUUAGCAUGGAAUAAUGGAAAAGGACUUCAACCUCUUCUGUUGGUCUGAGAGGAUGUAGUAAUGAUUAAUAGGGAUAGUUGGGGGCAUUAGUAC